rnacentral:lncRNA from 1 species
UCCAUUAAAAACCAAUCGCAUAUAGAUUUUUAUUUCUUUAUCCGAGGAGUGUGGGAGAUUCGAAAAAAUAGUAAGAGCCUUGUUUGUUUUUUAAAAGGUUCCUAGAAUAAAUAUUUAAUAAGUACAAAUAUCUAACUAUAAAUUAUUUUCUUUACAGAUAAUCAUAUCGAGUUCCAAUCCUUUAGUUCAUAUUCUUGACACA